rnacentral:rRNA from 1 species
GUCCAUGCCGUAAACGGUGGGCACUAGGUGUGGGGACUUUCAACGGUUUCCGUGCCGAAGCUAACGCAUUAAGUGCCCCGCCUGGGGAGUACGGCCGCAAGGCUAAAACUCAAAGGAAUUGACGGGGCCCGCACAAGCGGCGGAGCAUGUUGCUUAAUUCGAGGCAACGCGAAGAACCUUACCUGGGUUUGACAUGUACCGAAAAGCCAUAGAGAUAUGGUGUCCUUCGGGGCGGUACACAGGUGGUGCAUGGCUGUCGU